UUAAAAACCAAACAAUAAAAUACACACAAACAAAGAGGAAGGGUUUUAGUCCGUUCAUCCUAUCAAUAUUCAAGUGUCAUCUUCUAUUACCACACUACUUGUUUCUGCUUCAUUCUUGCUACCUGGGUUCGAUUCCUCACUUGGGUUAGUCUCAAUUUUGCUUUGCCUUUGAAAAACUACAACUUCUCUUCUCCAGUAGUAUUGGUCUUUCUUGCUUCUGGGUCUGUGAAUCUUCUCAACUUUAUCGCUUGGGUUGGUAUCGUUUGUGCUUUUAUUCGUAGAUUUAUGGUAUUUUGGCGCUUGGGUCGGUCUCAAAAUGCUAAAUUUUGUCUCUAAAACCCUUCAUUUUCUUGUAAUCAGAUAAGAGUGAUUGAAAAUGAUUAAGAAAAGGCCUGGUUCUUAUUGUUAUUACUAUUUCUUCAGGACUAGAAGAGCAAUUACAACUUGUUCUUUGCCAAUAGAGCCUACAAAUGCUUUUGUUUCACCUAUUGCCAGUGACCACAAAUCUCUGUGUCUCUCAUUGGCAGAGCAGCUCAUUCAACGUGGCUUGUUAUCGUCGGCGCAGCAAGUGGUUCGGCGAAUAAUAACACAUUCUUCAUCGGUUUCUGAUGCUUUUUCGGUUGUUGAUUUUGCUGCUUUACAUGGCUUAGACCUUGAUUUGGGUAGCUAUGGCGAACUCAUUAGGAAACUGGUGUUUUCGGGUCAGCCCCAAUUGGCUCAGGCACUUUUUCGCGACAACAUUGUUGGUAGAGGUAUUGAUCCUGAUUUAUCGAUUUUGAAUUCUAUGGUUAUUUGUUUGUGUAAGUUAGAUAAAGUAGAGGAGGCAGGAGCUCAAUUUGAUAGGCUGCUUGAGAUGGGUGGAAUUCCUUGCAAAGCUGCUUGUAAUGCAAUGAUUUGGGGGCUUUAUGCUCAAGAUAGAAUUUUAGAAGCAUUUGAUUAUUUAGUUAGAGUUAAUGAGGCUGGAGCUACUCCUGGUAUUUUGUGUUUUAAUAAAUUGAUUUAUGGGUUAUGCUAUAAGGGGUAUAUGGAUGAAGCUCUUGAAUUGUUUGAUGUAAUGCGCUGUGGACAUGGUUAUCCACCUACACUCCAUCUAUAUAAAUCAAUAUUUUACAGUCUUUGUAAGAGAGGGCUGGUCGUAGAGGCAGAGUCACUAUUCAGAGAAAUGGAGUCUCAGGGUCUUUAUAUAGAUAGGGUGAUGUAUACUUCUUUGAUUAAUCAAUAUAGCAAGGAUAAGAAAAUGAAGAUGGCAAUGCGGGUUUUCUUGAGAAUGCUGAAGACAGAUUGUGAGCCAGAUAAUUACACAUAUAAUACAUUGAUUCAUGGGUUUUUGAAAUUGGGCUUGUUUGAUAAGGGGUGGCUGGUUUACAAACAGAUGGCAGGGUGGGGAAUCCAACCUGAUGCGGUAACUAAUCACCUUUUUAUCAGUAAGUACUGCAGGGAAGGGAAAGUUGAUUGUGCUUUGAUGCUUUUGAACAACAUGGUUAGUUGCAACUUAGCUCCUAAUGUCCAUUGUUACACGGUUUUAUUCAAUGCACUUUACAAGGAGAAUAGGCUAAUGGAAGUUUAUGAUUUGUUCAAAAGCAUGCUGGUAAGGGGGGUUGUUCCUGAUCAUGUGCUGUUUUUUGUCCUUAUGAAGAAGUAUCCAGAGGGGCAGAGGCUUGACCUUGCUCAUCUGAUUCUGCAGGCAAUCGCCAAGAAUGGGUGUGGUUUUGACCCUUCUAUGCUCUCAUCCUCUGCUAGUGUAAACUCUAAUGGGGACUUGGAGCGUGAAAUUGAGAUCCUGCUUGAUGGAAUUGUGAGAUGUAACUUUAAUUUGGCUAAUGUAGCAUUCGGUGUUGUUGUCAGUGCCUUGUGUGGAGAAGGAAGGCCAAAUGAUGCCUUGCUUUACAUGGAUAAAAUUGUGAGAGUUGGAUGCAUGCCUUUGCUUUUUACUUAUAACUCUUUGAUCAGGUGUCUAUGUCAGAAGGGCCUUUUUGAGGAUGCCAAUUACCUACUUGACCUUAUGCAAGAUCGAGGUGUGGUCCCAAAUCAAGCAACUUAUUUGAUAAUGGUAAAUGAACACUGUAAACGGGGUGAUCUGGUGUCAGCCUUCAAUAUUCUGGACCAAAUGGGUGAGAGGGGACUUAGACCUAAUGUUGCUAUAUAUGACACUAUUAUUGGUUGUCUAAGCAGAGAGAAAAGAAUCUUUGAAGCAGAAGAAAUGUUUAAGAUGAUGCUCGAGUCUGGUGUGGAUCCUGACGAGGUUGUCUAUGUGACAAUGAUUAAUGGCUACUCGAAGAAUGGAAGAGCUAUUGAAGCCCACCAGUUGUUUGAUAUAAUGUUAGAGAAUUCCAUUCAGCCAAGUUCUUAUUCCUACACUGCACUUAUAAGUGGGUUGGUGAAGAAAAAUAUGACUUAUAAGGGAUGCAUAUACCUUGAUAGGAUGUUGGGAGAUGGUCUUCAGCCAAAUACUGUGCUAUAUACCUCGCUUAUCAGUCUUUUCUUGAAGAAGGGUCAGUUCGAAUUUGCCUUUAGGUUAGUUGAUUUGAUGGACAGAAACCAGAUUGACACCGAUCUCAUCAUGUAUAUCUCACUUGUCAGUGGUGUUAGCAGAAAUGUCUCUGGUAUUAAGAAGGAAUUGUGUGUUAUAAAUAAAAAGUCUGAAAGGGAAAGAGAAAUGUUGUUCCAUUUACUCCAUCAGAAAACUCUUAUGCCAAUGAAGAAGAUUUUAAGAACUUCUGCUGAUACUCCCGAGGAGACGAAAUGCUUUGCUUUGAAGCUGAUGCAGAAGUUUAAAGACAUUGAGUUUAUGCCAAACUUGUACUUAUACAAUGGUAUAAUCUCUGGAUUUUGUAGGGCAGAGCAGAUGUGGGAUGCCUAUGAUCAUUUUGAAAAGAUGCAAAGAGAGGGUGUACAUCCCAAUGAGGUGACUUACACCAUUCUCAUUGAUGGGCAUAGUCGAUCUGGUGAUAUUAACAGUGCAAUAGGAUUGUUUAAUAAGAUGAAUGCAGAUGGUUUUGCUCCAGACAGAAUUGCGUAUAACACUUUACUGAAAGGCCUUUGUAAGGCUGGGAGACUACUUGAUGCCUUAUCACUCUCAUAUGCAAUGCGUAAGAGGGGGGUUUUCCCAAAUCGGUUUUCUUAUGAAUGUUUACUCAGUUGUUUUUGUGCAAGUGAUAUGAGUGUUCCUGCCUUCAAGAUAUUUGAAGAAAUGCUUGCUCAAAAUUAUAAACCUAAGCAGUUUAAUCACAACUGGUUGUUUUACAAAUUAUGUGAGGAUAAUAAUUUUCUUGAAGCCCGUAUGGUAUCUGAUAUGAUGCUUCAGAGAGGGAUAACUCCAAAACAUUCAACAAAGAGGUUUUAUUUGAAAACAUGCAAUGAGGGAAGUGAAGGUAAUCUAGCAUUAUGUUGUUGAAGGCAUAUCCUUGUGCAAAGUAAAAGUUAUUGCCUGAUACUGUUCAACACAUUUAGAGGAAUGAUGCCUACGAAAAACAAAGUGAUUUAUGCAGGAAUGGUGGAGAUCGUGAACUCCAAUCUUUGCCAAUGAGAUCAUUUGCAUGCAGCUGACAAGAAUCAGUUGGGCCUGGUGGAAGUCCAGAUGAAAAUGGAGAAACUACAAUUGGAGCUCUGGUCAUUGAUGGGGAAAGAAAGCCCUUGCUCAAAGUGAGACGGUUCUCAGAUAUUGAGGCAAUUCAUAAACAUAGAGUCGUUGCUGGUAGUUGGGGGGCUGAGUGUGAGUUUUUGGAAAGUAAAUUGCAGUCUUCAAACAAUGAAGUGAAGCUUGUCUGAGAACUAGAUUCACCCCAGUUGCUUCUCUACAAAGACAAUGGUGGAGGUGUUGUGUUAAAGAAAAGUCAACUUAUGGUUUCUUAAUACAAUCAGGAGAUGAUCCUCGGGAUUCCUGCUACAAUGAGCAGUUUUACAUCAAUGAGAGGGAGAUAUAAAAUUUAUAAAUGGCAAAAGAUUGCUUAGGAACUCUUUAAGUCUUAUAUGACUACGUACAUGGCAACUUCAGAUGAACAACUUACAGCUCUUGGUGAACUAUUGUAUCAGUGCAUCAUAGAUGGUGAAUUGGUCUAACGGAUAGCCCUAUUCCCUUGAGAAGAACUAAUUGGGGAAGCUAAAGCUGUUUUAAUGGCCAGGCUGUGACUCCAUGCUCCUUGGUCCGAAGACUUUGAUUGGUUUGUGUCUAAUUCCUGGUUUCCGAACCCAAGGGGAGUUGGUUAUUUCCUAAUUAAAAAUGCAUCAAUACUGCUAUGUAGAUAUUUGUUUAACUACUGGAAUGUGCUACAUCUCAAUAAAUGUAAUAAAUCUGUAAGAUGAUGCAAUAAAUUUGUCAUGGAUUUAUCCCAUGGGCCA